UGUCUAAGUACAUGCCGUAUUAAGGCGAAACCGCGAAUGGCUCAUUAAAUCAGUUAUGGUUCCUUGGAUCGUACCUUACUACUUGGAUAACUGUGGCAAUUCUAGAGCUAAUACAUGCAGCAKAGCUCWGACCUUCGGGGACGAGCGCUUUUAUUAGACCAAAACCAAUCGGGCCUCGUGUCCGUGAAAUGUGGUGACUCUGUAUAACUUUGGGCUGAUCGCACGGGCUCGUCCCGGCGACGUAUCUUUCAAGUGUCGCCUUAUCAACUGUCGAUGGUAGGUUACGCGCCUACCAUGGUCGUAACGGGUGACGGGGAAUCAGGGUUCGAUUCCGGAGAGGGCGCCUGAGAAACGGCGACCACAUCCAAGGAAGGCAGCAGGCGCGCAAAUUACCCACUCCCGGAACGGGGAGGUAGUGACGAAAAAUAACAAUACGGGACUCUUUUGAGACCCCGUAAUUGGAAUGAGUACACUCUAAAGCCUUUAACGAUUAGCAACUAGAGGGCAAGUCUGGUGCCAGCCGCUGCGGUAAUUCCAGCUCUAGUAGUGUAUAUUAAAGUUGUUGCGGUUAAAAAGCUCGUAGUUGGAUCUCAGUUCGAGCCYGGUGGUCCGCCAAACGGUGGUUACUGCCGGGUUUCAACACGGCCGGUUUCUCUUGAUGAUCUUCGCCGGUUGUCUCGAGUGACCGGCACGUUUACUUUGAAAAAAUUAGAGUGCUCAAAGCAGGCGUGACGCCUGAAUAAUGUUGCAUGGAAUAAUGGAAUAGGACCUCUGUUCUAUUUUGUUGGUUUUCGGAACACGAGGUAAUGAUUAAGAGGGACAGACGGGGGCAUUCGUAUUGCGACGCUAGAGUUAAAGGAAUUGACGGAAGGGCACACAAGGCGUGGAUCCUGCGGCUUAAUUUGACUCAACGCGCGAAAUCUUACUCGGCCCGGACACAGGAAGGAUUGACAGAUUGAGAGCUCUUUCUUGAUUCUGUGGAAGGUGGUGCAUGGCCGCUCUUGUUGGUGGAGCGAUUUGUCUGGUUUAUUCCGUUAACGAGCGAGACUCUAGCCUACUAAAUAGGCGUUCCGAUUCUUCUCGGUCGGACGCUCUUCUUAGAGGGAUAGGCGGCGUUUAGCCGCAUGAGACAGAGCAAUACAGGUCAGUAAUGCCCUCAGAUGUUCGAGGCCGCACGCGCGCUACAUUGAAGGAAUCAGCAUGCGUUUUCCCUGUCCGAGAGGACUGGGUAACCCUCUGAAUCUCCUUCGUGCUAGGGAUAGGGAACUGAAACCCUCCUUGAACGAGGAACGCCUAGUAAGCGGGAGUCAUUAUCUCCCGCUGAUUACGUCACUGCCCUUUGUCCACACCGCCCGUCGCUGUACCGAUUGAAUGACUUAGUGAGGCCUUCGGACUGGCGCUCGGAUUGACCUUUGGGUUCGAGCCGUUGUGUCGGGAAGAUGUCCAAACUUGAUCAUUUAGAGGAAACAAAAGUCGUAACAAGGUUUCC
rnacentral:rRNA from 1 species